rnacentral:tRNA from 1 species
GUUUUAGUAGUUUAACAAAAACUUUGGUCUUGUAAACCAAUAUUAAGGCGACUAUGUCUUCUAAAGCU